UACGUAGGGUGCGAGCGUUGUCCGGAAUUAUUGGGCGUAAAGAGCUCGUAGGCGGUGUGUCACGUCGGCCGUGAAAACCUGCAGCUUAACUGUGGGCGUGCGGUCGAUACGGGCAUCACUGGAGUUCGGCAGGGGAGACUGGAAUUCCUGGUGUAGCGGUGAAAUGCGUAGAUAUCUGGAGGAACACCGGUGGCGAAGGCGGCAUCCUGGACCGGGAUUGACACUGAGGCGCGAAAGCCAGGGGAGCAAACGGG
rnacentral:rRNA from 1 species